UCAAAGUGAUCAACAACCUAGUGUUGUAUCGGGUGGAGUAUGGACAAGUACACAAUUCGCAUCCUUGCGCUAGCCCUACUGACUCUGCAUCUCGUAUGCUCUACCACUGUUGUUCAAUGCCGAAUCAUGUCUGACAUGGAUAUGGAGAAGAUUAGUUUACCACACGGCCUGCUCAUGUGGCUCGGGUUUAUUGUAGCGUUGAGGGAUAUUGCGACUGUUGUUUGGUAGAUGAUUUGUGCUAUCCAACUAUGGAUGAGUGCGAGAGAAAGUGUAAAAAAUCCUUGUCUUCAGAAGACAUACUACGGGCGAUGACAUCCCCUCCUUAUUUACCUGCUCCUUAAUUUUCCAGCCUAGUCAAAUUGGCUUUCUUGCAUAUUUACUUGUCCCGAGAAAUAAAUAUAAUGCCUAAUAUGUGUGUGGAAAUAAAUAUAAUGCCUGAUAUGUGUGUGGAAA